rnacentral:sRNA from 1 species
UUAUUUUCUGGGCUUCUAAAAUCCAGAUAAGCCUUCAAGAAUCUUCGACGCAUGUAUGUACAUUGUGUGCCCGAGACUCACAAUUCUUCCUUUGAAGAGCUUGCAUGCAAACAACCCCCGUGAAAGGAUCAUGAGGUCGAGAUCCACAGGUUGAGGACCACUGGCUUGGAAUCAGGCCUAGGAUUGCACUCAAGGCAAGACCUCAGGAAUUCAGAUGGCCCUUCCAGUGCCAAGCUUCAUGUUGGAGACUCACAGGGCUGCCCCCAUCUCAGAUACCAGCUGAAACUGGAGUACACAGGAAAGUUUACAUUGGGUUCCUGUGGUUUUCCUGGUUUGUAUCCUCUGUUGAAUGCUGUCUGCUCCCACCAUCGGUGCUCUGACCAUUGACACUUCAUGGAUUCCAGUUUCUGGCUUCAAAUAUCUGCUGAGCUGGGAAACCAGACACCUUCCUUAUUUGGAUUGUGGAUGAAUGAAUGAAUGAAUGAAUGAAGCAUAAAGAGAACGGAAGGUAAGCCCAGUGUUUAUCUUGUCAACAGAGCCAACUUCAGAGAACUUGAGAGCACCCAGUUUAGCUAUCCACAGCUGAAUGAGAGUGCUCAGAUAUUUUAUAGAUAACAGUGGUUGAAGACCAAGCUGAAAAUUGGUGUUAUUUCCUGCCUGCCUUUCUCCCUCACCCCUCUUGCUUUUAGCAGCAUCUCACUUAGCCCAGGCUUUCCUCAAAUUUGCUUCUGUAGUCAAAACUGACCUUGAACUUUUACCCUCCUGCUUCUACCUCCCAAAUGCUGGGGUUACACGUGGUUUAUGCUGUGCUAAGGGUAGAGCCUAAGCUUCCUACUUGCUAGGCAAGCCCGCUAUCCACUGAGCUGUAUCACCAGCCAGACAUUUCUGUUUGAAAUGUCCUAGUUUGCUUGUUUGUGUGAUUUGAAACAAGAUCUCCCUCGACGUGCUUUUCAGCCUGGCCUGGAACUCCAUCUUCAGUUUAGGCUGGCUUUGAACUCGUGUCUCUUUUUUGUCUCAACCUCCCAAGAGCUGGGUUCAUAGGUAUAUGCCACUAUUUCUGACUUCCAGAAUUGGAAAUGUCUCCUAACCUGGCAUGUGAAUACAAAAAUAGCCCUGGAUUUUAUCCAUUUACCGUCAGGCCAAUAUCAUCAUAAGCUAAGGAAAUAUGAUUCUUACUUUUACAUAUUUCUUUUUGUGGUUAGAACUCUCAAGAUUUUUAAGAUUAUUCUUCCAAUCCCCACCAUUAACAUCACUGUCUUGUGAGGAAUCAAACAUCUUUCCCUGUGAACUGAUGACCGUAGAAAGAGUGUGGUUAUUUUGCAAUUGUGCCUGAGAUUAUAAAUGUCGUGGUCCUGCUUUGCUAGUUGGUAUCAUUGUCCUUGGCUUCUGUGACCUCUGGGUUAUUAUGAAUGCUCAGGAGAGAGAGCAUUAUAUCCCCCUCUUCCCUGAAUGAGAUGCAGGAUUCCCAGGUUGAGCUGAGAGAGUCACUUCUAGUCAGUAGUGCUAAUAGGAUGUGCAUUUGAAGGAGGCUGGAGGGAUCUGUUACAGAUGGGAGGCACAUGAACAAACUUUUACUUCCACAACUUGCUUCGUUAUGGUUGCUCUUUUACUUCUCUGUCUGUGCCUUAAGUCUGGGAGCUCUUUACUAUCUCCCUUGUCUGGUGUGUUGGGUUUAUUUUUUUCUUCUAGGAAGACAGCAAGGUCAGGCAGAAUCAUAGGUGCCUCUGGUGUCCUGUCUGUGUGGGUCCCAAGUAUUUUGCUCUCCUUUCUGUACUGUCAGAUCAGAGUGGGAACAAACUGUCAAAAUCCCACUCUUCUGAGGAAGGACUCGUCAGUGAGGGUGAGCCUGGUCACUCACUGUUCUCGGAGCCUUCUCUCAGGCACACGGUGGCUGGGCACAGUGGCAGCUCUUCCCGAGCAGUGGUGAGCAGAUAGGAGCUCAGCAUCCCCUACUUUGAAGAUGUGGUCAGUGACAGGGUCAGCUCUAGCACAGACUCCUGUCAAACAUGAAAGGCCACUCCCUGCUCCUGCCCUCAUCACAAAGGGCUACAGAUGCAGAGGAUGCGUGCUCAGGACUGGUCUGCAUCUUGGUUUAUCUUCUUUUUACUUCUUCUUCAUUCUAAUUCUGUGUGUGUGUGUGUGUUAUAAUAUAUAAUGUAUACAUAUAUUGUAUUAUUAGUAUGUGUGUAUGUGCACACAAGUAUGCAUGCCAUACUCACAUGUGGAGGUCAGAUCACAGCUUGUGAGAGUUGCUUCUCUUUGUCUACCAUGUGGAGCUUGGGGUUUAAACUCAUGCCAUCAGGCUUGGUGACAAGAGCCCCACCUGCCAAACCAUCUCACCAGCCUAGUGCUAAGUCGUGAUGAGCUCUGCACUUCCCGUAGCUCUAGCAUGAGCACGAGACCCAAAUAGAAGGUAAGAAACGCUCAGCCUGCGCCCCCCACGCGAGUUAAAAUAUACAUCUUCCUUUGUUUAAUGAGGGAAAAAAAGCUUUAUACAUAGCCCAAGGUGGCCUUGAACUUGACCAUCUUCCUUCCUAAACUUCCAGAGCACUGGAUUAUAGGCAUGUGCCAGUAUGCCUGGCUUGCUCCUGCAUUUAAAACAGUUAAGAUCAAUAGAAACAAAAUACGGCUAAUGUCAAUUUAAAACAUAGGUGAUUUUAGUUUAACAAAAGCUAUUAGAAAAUACUUAAUGGUAUCCUUUCAAGUUUAUCUCUAUUUAUAAAGAACAUUUUUUCCAAUUAACAUACGUGGGUUUAAUUCAUUGAACCUGUCAGCAGAGGUUAGGGAUAAUUUAUCCUCCUCUUCUCUCUCAAUGCAGAGGUUUGCACACGCAAGCAUUAGUUUAAGAAGUUUAUGACUUGGAGAAGAUAGAUAAGGCAAUCUGGGCAGUGUGCCAGGCACAGGCUCCCAGGAAUGUGCUGGGAGCCAAGUGUGAAACAGAUUCUGCAUGGGGAUGGCACCAUGGUAGAGGUGACCCAAACUCCAGGCCACUUAAGGAUAUGCACAGGCAGCUUGUGGUUUUGGAGCUGUUCAUGACCAUGAUAGGAUCUAGAACUCCUGGUUUGGUUUUCUCUAGGGCUCACAGAAAGCAGAGAAUUAGAGUCUAACCUUGCCCCAUAGAACCUCUGUCCAUACCAUGAUGUCUGUGACACCUCUCCAAGCCAAAGUUCCAGUUGUCGUUGACAGGUUAAAAUGUGAAAGGAGGUGGGCAUAAACAUGAUCACAGUAAACUGUGUACAUGUGUCAAAUUCAUUAAAAAAUUAAAAUGAGAAACAAGAGACUGGAAAGAUGGCUUAGCAGUUAACAGCACUAGCUGGUCUUCCGGGGGGCCCAGGUUUAACUCUCAACAUCCCCGUGGUAGCUCACAACCAUCUGUAACUCCAUUUCCAAGGCAUCUGAUACCCCCUUCUGGGUCUGGUUGACACCAAGCAUGCCCAAACCUAAGCAAAACACCUACACAUAUACUUCUGCUAAGUGAGGUAAGAGGUAGGAGAGAUGGCUCAAUUCGUAAAGUGCUCAUCAUUUAAGCACAAGGACCCAAGUUCAAGCCCCAGCAACCAUGUAAAAGCCAGACACACUGCUGGGGAGGCAGAGUCAGGCAGAGCCUUGGAUCUCAUUGGCCAAGUUGGUCUGGUCUAAUUAGUGAACUCCAAGUUCAGUGAAAGACUCCAUUUCAACUAGUAAGACAGAGAGUGAUUGAGGAAGACAUUUGACAAAGAUCUCUGGCCUCCUCGUAGGUAUACACAUGUGCACAUGCAUACAAGAACUCAUAUACAUAAUUCACGAGCAAAUUGAGGUAAGACACAAAAAGACCGUAGACAACACUAAUACAGAGAUACUCGAGUUCGUUUGUACAGUAAGUGUCUAUCACAUGGCACACACGGUGAUAGGCUCUGUUGGAAACUUGGGGAUAAAAUUCAUUUAUGGAGGACAUACACUAGACUGGAGAUUUAAAAAAAAAUGAAGCAGGCAAAUUGAGCAAAACAAUCCUUCAUUUUCACUGUUUGCUAAUUCCCUUACUUUCAAAGGCAGAGUCACAGAGAUCAGCAACUCCAGCCAACCCUGGGUCAAGUUUAUGUUUGUUUAAGCGCCGCAGGCUGCAUCUUGAUUUUUCAGCCAUUUAAUAGAGCAUCCAUCAAAGGGUUUCUGCAAAAACAUCCAGACGAGCCAGGAAAGUUGCCUCUCUCUCUCUCUCUCUCUCUCUCUCUCUCUCUCUCUCUCUCUCUCUCCCUCUCUCUUUCUCUCUCUCUCGCUUCACCCUCUGAAUUUUGAGAACUUCAUGGUGCCCUUCUUAACAUGUCAUUUCUUUUUCAGAUCCAAAUCCCUCCGAGUAUCUACCAGAUGGAUCCGAAGAAUUUCUUCGGAGGGAGAGUAGAGGGGUUUACCCAACCGUAUGAAAAUGACUGUUUCAAGUUGGCUCACACUAGCACUGAAUAAACACAUAUUGAUAU